rnacentral:rRNA from 1 species
UACGUAGGGGGCAAGCGUUGUCCGGAAUCAUUGGGCGUAAAGCGCGCGUAGGCGGCCCUGUAAGUCCGUUGUGAAAGUCAAAGGCUCAACCUUUGAAGGCCGAUGGAUACUGCAGGGCUAGAGUCCGGAAGAGGCGAGUGGAAUUCCUGGUGUAGCGGUGGAAUGCGCAGAUAUCAGGAGGAACACCAAUAGCGAAGGCAGCUCGCUGGGACGGUACUGACGCUAAGGCGCGAAAGCGUGGGGAGCGAACAGG